GGGGAUGUUACGGAUUCGACUGGGGCAUUUGAGCUUAAUAAGCAAGUCGUGCUAACCCACGUUAAAAGGUCGAGGUUUUAAUAACCGGAAAAACAAACUUACAAUUAGCUGCUUAAUAUAACGUAGCUGCCUACCAUCCAAUCGCCCAUGUUGAAUGACUAGGCUCACUGUAGUGGGAUACGCUAGUCUGUGCCGUUUGAAUAGCCUAGAAGAGAUGAUCAAACUCGCGGUCUGACAGGUGUGUCGCCUAACCAGUCACCCGUUAAAUUUAAUAGGAGACUAAACUUGUAGAAAGUUAAGUGGUCGGUGUUUUAGGACGGGGGUUCGACUCCCCCCAUCUCCACCA
rfam:Turicibacter sp. H121, complete genome.